rnacentral:lncRNA from 1 species
UCAAGGGAGCCGAUGAGACGCGUGCGGGGCAACCGGCGGUCCGGGGGAUCCAGCCAAGGCGAGGCGUCUGAGGGGAUCCGGCGCUCGAGCGGCUGCCUCCAGGUCAGUUCGCUCAUCUUCCCUCCCCUUCUCUCUCAGGUCCUGAAGGCGGCAGCGGCAACGAGCCGGCGACGCCUCCGCUGAGGUUGCGGCGAUGGAACCCGCGCGAGGUGGUGCUGGGCGGGGCGAGCGUGCGGCAUGGGCCGCUGGCCUUUGGAACACAUAUCUACAUCCAUAGCUCUGGCGGCGACGGCGGCGGUAGCGGAUGACGUCUCAUCCUGCUCCUAGCCGGCGAUGGUGGAUCAACGCCUAUUCUAAUUUAACCCUCCUCUCUUCUUCUUGUACAGGGUAUGGACAGGUGCAAACUGUUCUUGUGUACACAUCAGUCAGCUAUUCACAUAUAAGAAAUCAUUUCGUUAAAAGGUGCACGCAUCCCAAGCGAACACGGAGUGAAAAACUGGGAGGAGAAUAUAGACGCAUCUUAGCCAGUUGGCUCGUGUUUGGGGAUCAGUGCAAGUUUAAUCGGAAUGAUUUUCAAUGUCUCAAUACAGCAGCCGUGAGUAUGUAUACACAGUUUCAACCUGUCCAAGAGUCCAUACACAUUUAAGGCAGGGUGCACAUGUCCGUACAAAAUCGGGCACUGAUUCAUUUAUGAACUUUCUAGAAGCCAUUUAUUAGCUGGACUCUCAGAAUGCAUCUACAGCAAUAAUAAUUUUAUUAUGUGCGCAGCCGUCGCAUGCCUACAUCACAAACCAAACAUAUAUCUUUUCAAAUCAUUUGUUGAUUCAUCUCUGCCGUCAGUUAUUUGUAGUUUGAUUUGGUAACAAUGACGAGAAGUUGUAAUCCUCUUUCAGGCACCAGUUCAGUACACGUUGGAAGAAGGUUUGGAGAGACCGACCCCAUGUGUCAACUACAGUAUGUUCGACGAAAUGUGGAGCGUGGUUUUAAAUGGAGAUUCUUGGUAUCACGUGUCAGGACGUAAGUCACUAGGAAAGGAAAAGGGUGACGAGUUAACAGCUUCCUGUGCAACGGAAGCGUGAAAUGAUGUCGUGAAAUCUCACGAUUAGCCUGUUGCGAUUCAAGAUUAGAGAAGUGACAGUAUGUAUCUUUCUAAUGAAUGAAUAAAAAGGAAUUCCGCUCAGCGUAUUAUUCUGUGUUUUUAUGUCACGCAUAGUAGUUAAUCAAAUGAUGUGUUAAUUUGAGAAAUGAU